rnacentral:lncRNA from 10 species
UCAGACAAUGGAAAUGAUGUUAGACAAAAAGUGAAUUCAGCAGUUUUCUUAUUUGAAUUCAAAAUGGGUCAUAAAGCAGUGAAGACAACUUGCAACAUCAACAAUACAUUUGGCCCAGGAACUACUAAUGAACCUACAGUAUAGUGGUGGUUCAAGAAGUUUCAUAAAGGAGACAGCCUUGAAGAUAAGGAGCACAGUGGUCGGCCAUUGAAGUUGACAACAACCAGUUGAGAGCAAUCAUCGAAGCAGAUCCUCUGACAACUACACGAGAAGUUGCCGAAGAACUCAUCGUUGACCAUUUUAUGAUUGUUCGGCAUUUGAAGCAAAUUGGAAAGGUGAAAAAGCUUAAUAAGUGGGUGUUAGGAUCACCUAAGCAGACCAUUCCCUUCCCCUCCCACAGGCCUUACAAUACAGUCUCUUGCGCUCUCCACACAGUCACCCCAGGGCAAAAGACAAACCCCCCACUUCACUGACCCCUCCACUAACUGUUUGUCCAGGCAGUUACAGGAUGCCAUUAACGUCUGUUCACCUCACAUAACAAAGCUGGCAAAAAACAUCUCCAGGAUGCGGACAAGACACUUGCAUCCCCGAAUCAGCUCCCCGACCCUGACCCAGUUCCUCAUCCUAUAAAGCCCUGCUGUAGUCUGUAAGUGUGGCUGCCUCCUCUGCUUUUGUCAGGAGGUAGCCCGGCAGGACUGACAAUAAAUUAGCUUGCCUGAACUUGGGUCUAUUGGCCUCAUUCCUUUCUUGGCUGUCCUUCCAAUUAUCCCUUACAGUGGGAGCCUCAUGAGCUGAGCAAAAAUUUUUUUAAAAAAUUAUCAUUUUGAAGUGUUGUCUUCUCUUACCCUAUGCAACAACAAUGAACCAUUUAUCGAUCAAAUUGUGACAUGCGACAAAAAAUGUAUUUUAUAUAACAACCAUCAAUGGCCAGCUUAGUGGCUGGACUGAGAAGAAGCGCCAAAGCACUCUAAGGCUGAACAAAUUGGGCUAUGAAGUUUUGCCUCAUCCACCAUAUUCAUUUGCCCUUUUGCCAACGAACUACCACUUCUUCAAGCAUCUCCAUUACUUUUUGCAGGUAAAACACUUCCACAACCAGAAGGAUGCAGAAAAUGCUUUCCAAGAGUUCACUGAAUCCCAGAGCAUGGAUUUUUAUGCUACAGGAGUAAAUAAACUUAUUUC